UGUCUGUCUACACUUCAAAAGGGGAUGGCGCACGCUCGUCCAUCAUUGAAAACUUCCGUGAAAAAAGGCACCGUGAGGACACGUUACAGUCCCUACAGGAGGGAUUAAUGAUGAAGACUCUGUGGUCAUCUUUGCACCAAAGACAGGACACUAAAGAGGAUGGAAAUGGAAACAGAGGUCCAGAGGCAGGAACUGGAGUGCAGUUACAGGCUUUCGGGUCAGUGGGGCUCUUGGCUGGUGGGGAGCCAGAGGCCUGAAGGAUGCAGGCGUUCUUGCUACUGCAGGACUCUGUGGCUUUGUCACAGGGGAAGUAUGAGGCAUUUCGGGCAGAAGGGGCAGCAGGCUUGGGGCCCUCAGCCACACUGUAGUGCAUGUCACUCCGUGCCUCCUCUGGGACCGCCUCCUUGGAUUCCAAAGCACCAGGCCAUGUGCUGAGAUCCGUAAACUAAGGGACUGUCGUCUCAGACACAGGGAACAGCCAACAUAUUCAUCUCACCGGCUGCCAACCCUAGCUCCCCCUUCAUACAGUCACCCCUCACUCGAAGACCACUCACCUGCAGGCCAUGAGCACUGUCUUAUGGGCUCUGAACUGCUCACGGCUAACCACAAUGACAACGUCAGUCAAGAUGUCCCGACUCCGGAGGCGAUUAAGAUUAAGAAGAACAUCACUGGCAUGGCGGGUGAACUGGAUACAGCUGUCAGCCGGCGAGGCCAUGUUGUCUUCGUCUGAACAGAAGUUAAACUCCUAUUAGUCCCCAAGAACCCCCUGCUUACCAAGAGUACCAAACAGAUGGCUUAGUGUGUUAAGGUCUAAAACUAGACAGAGGACUGACCAUAGCUUCCAAGUUCGGGCUUCUCCUGACCGCUGAAAGAUUUAACUGUGUGGUUUAGCCAAGAACUGGCCAGGGAGCCUUAAAGAGAUCUAAUGAAGCAUGUACUCUCUCUCAAUUGGUUUCUCUAACUCAAAAAUCAUGGCGAUCCCACAAAAAUCAUGGCGAGCAUAGGUGCAAGCCUCUCCUUUCUGAUCCGACAUGGGCAAAGCAGAGCGAUCAUCUAUUGGAACUCUGUUCUCCCAUUCAAAUAGCACGGCCCUCCA